GAUGAACGCUACCUACAGGCUUAACACAUGCAAGUCGAGGGGCAUCAGGAAGAAAGCUUGCUUUUCUUUGCUGGCGACCGGCGCACGGGUGAGUAACACGUAUCCAACCUGCCCUUUAACUCGGGGGAUAGCCUUUUCGAAAAGAAAGAUUAAAUACCCCGAUAGCAUAAUGAUUCCGCAUGGUUUACAUUAUUAAAAGGACUUCCGGUAAAGGAUGGGGAUGCGUUCCAUUAGGUUGUUGGUGAGGUAACGGCUC
rnacentral:rRNA from 1 species